AUUCAUAAUAACGAUUUACAUUUCUAGACUUAUUAGAUUAAAAUAAAUAUUACAUAGUAAUAAAAAUAUAAGUUGAAUUUGUUACUACAUGGGGUGGUACUUUAAGGAGGUCAUUUUUCAACUUUCUCUGGAGUUUUCUCAUUAAAUGUGAAAAACCGAAAAAAAAAUGUAUAAACUUCAAAAUAUAUUAGUAAAAUAUUAUUAUAAUUUUAUUUUUCAUCUAUAUAUUAUCUUCCCGAUUUAUGGUGAUAAACAGUGGCUGCACCCAUUGUUUUUUAUAAUAUAAAUUAUAAAAAGACUGACAUCCUUGGGUUGGCUACUGUUAUAGAUGAGGAGUUGGAAGGGUAAGUAGUGAGGAAAUUUAAUGUACAUCUGUAUUCAACGGUUAACCAUUACUAACGAAAAAGAUUCUGAGCGAAGUUCAGUUAAUAGUAUUGUUUUAUCAACAAUAUACAUAUAUUAUGUCACAUUAUGGUAAAAUAAUUACUAAUGCAUUAUGCAUCAAAUACUUU